rnacentral:lncRNA from 10 species
CAAGGUCAGUGUCUUAUCCACCUCUGUUCUCUCAGCAUCUGGGUCUGCCACGUGGAAGAAUCUCAAAGAUGUUGGCUAACUGCAGAGAACUACAAGGGUUACAUAGCGAGGACAGACCCAUCUGUUGGCUAUUUAAGAAUUUACUACUUUUGAAAUAUAAAUAGAUAUAGAAGAGUCAGUGCUUUGGUGACCAUAAAGACCUCCACUGCCACUGUGUCUCAGCCACAGGCAGCCAAGCUUGUGCAUUGGGCCCCCUUCCUUAUACUCCGUGAGUUCUC